UACGGGGGGGGCAAGCGUUGUUCGGAAUUACUGGGCGUAAAGGGCUCGUAGGUGGCCAACUAAGUCAGACGUGAAAUCCCUCAGCUUAACUGGGGAACUGCGUCUGAUACUGGAUGGCUUGAGUUUGGGAGAGGGAUGCGGAAUUCCAGGUGUAGCGGUGAAAUGCGUAGAUAUCUGGAGGAACACCGGUGGCGAAGGCGGCAUCCUGGACCAACACUGACACUGAGGAGCGAAAGCUAGGGGAGCAAACGGG
rnacentral:rRNA from 1 species